rnacentral:rRNA from 1 species
UACGUAGGGUGCAAGCGUUGUCCGGAAUUAUUGGGCGUAAAGAGCUCGUAGGCGGUUCGUCGCGUCGGCUGUGAAAUCCCGGGGCUUAACCCCGGGCCUGCAGUGGGUACGGGCAGACUAGAGUGCGGUAGGGGAGACUGGAAUUCCUGGUGUAGCAGUGAAAUGCGCAGAUAUCGGGAGGAACACCGGUGGCGAAGGCGGUUCUCUGGGCCUUACCUGACGCUGAGGAGCGAAAGCGUGGGGAGCGAACAGG